rnacentral:rRNA from 1 species
UACGUAGGGUGCGAGCGUUAUCCGGAAUUACUGGGCGUAAAGGGCGCGUAGGCGGCGCUCCAAGUUAGGCGUGAAAGUCCUGGGCUCAACCUGGGAACUGCGCUUAAGACUGGAGUGCUUGAGGAUGGAAGAGGGUCGUGGAAUUCCCAGUGUAGAGGUGAAAUUCGUAGAUAUUGGGAAGAACACCGGUGGCGAAGGCGGCGACCUGGUCCAUUACUGACGCUGAGGCGCGACAGCGUGGGGAGCAAACAGG